CGCGCGCUCCAACCGUUAGGGCCCUCCAAUAACCAAUGGGCGUUGGCCGAGGGAGGAGGAGGAAGUGGCAGGGGAGGGGGGGCAAAGAAAGAGAGAAAGAGACCUGCCCCAGCUGGGCGUGGCUGUACCCACUGUGGCCCCGCCUUUCGCUUCCCCUAUCUGCGUGCCUGCCCCCUCAGCUCAGGUGAGUGGGGAAGAGGCGCCGCCAUUUCUUCAGCGCCCCCCGCGGGUGACGGCGUCGCAGCAUCAGCGCUGACGUGGGGGCGACGCGCGGCCUCGCCCGGCCCAAUCCCUCCUCCCCCACCUACUUCCCCUGUGACGGGGGCGCCACGUACUCGGAGUCGUUGUAGCCAUCGUGAAAAAUGGAGGACUAUUUCCUUUGUUGGCUACCAGCCCGUGAAGAAAAGACACUGCUUCAGGAUCCUACUCACUAUAUCCAUUUGCUAUAAAUGGAGAUAAUGAACUGUAACUCUUUGAUUUCCAAAAAACAUACACUGUGACACUGUGGAGUAACAUUAAAAGUAUGAAUUUGUUACUGGUAUUAUAUUAUGAAUAUUUAAUUAAUUACAAACUUAAAUAACUUCUGCUCCUGUUCCAAUGUCUAAUAUAUGUAUGGGAUCUUCUAAAAGCGAUUUCCAAACUUUACAAAACUGUCCUAUGUUUUGGGGGAUUUCAUUUGUUAAAUACAGGGUUUCCUUGUUUUUAUUAAAAGAUUUUUACAUUUGCACUGGAGAACAUUGGAUUCCAAAGUGUUGGUUUCAUUUCAUAGGACAGCACUGAAAGACUGAUGGGAUGCUGGCUGAGUAUGUGCUUUACAACAUGUUCCAGAAUUCUUUGCGUUUCUUGGGGAUUCUGUCCCUAAUAAUCAUGGCUUUUCAUGAAUAAUCGCUGAAGGCUUCCGUCAGAACCUCCACAAAUCAGAGGGUGAUUCUGCACUGGCCGGUAUACCAGACUAGCAAAUGUACCGGGAGCCUCCCUUUUGCACGCCGGUGCAGUCUAAGGGAGGCUCUGGGAUGGUCAUCGUUUAGACCACACCAGCAUAUGGAAGGGAAACUUCUAACAUGCUUGCUGGUUCAGUACAGUAGCCAGUGCAGAAUCACUGAGGUUGUAGAUCUGCAACCUUCUUUGCAUCUCACUGAGUCUCCAAAAGGCUUUUCUUAUAAACUAUUUAGAACUUAGCCAAAGUGUUUUUGAUUUUUUGCUGCUUCACUUAUAAAAUAUAGGUUCUUCUGACACAUAAGAAACCUGUUGCAUUUUGGGCAAUAAUGUUUUUUUCUUGCUGUUUCUAUUCUCCCAUGAACUUUGAAUAUUAUGUAACAUUGAGAAUUGGUUGUCAUGGUAAUAGUUAUGACCUCAUAAAUAGAACAUGACUUAACUGCAUGGUUCACUAGAAGGGAGUGUGGCCUGGAGGAGAAAGACAUAGAUAUAUAUAUAAACAUCCAGUCACAAUGAGCAAGUGUGGUAAAAAACAGCAUGCAAGAAUUAACAUAAGGUAGCCAUGGUAUAUUGAUUUUUACAAUAUAUGCCUUGCAGACAUGUAUUACAUGUUUUGUGUAUUAGUGGCUUUGGUGAGGACCUUUAGAAAGUAAUUAAAGACAUGUUUUAUAUAACAUUUAAAAUUUUUAAAUGAAUUGAUUAGUGAACUUCUUGGAGAAAAGGGGUAUAUAGACAUAAGAAAUAUUUUUAAUAGUUCAACCCCCCCCCCCCAAUAAUUAAACAAAAGAAAGAUCCCUGUCCAUUUCUCUAAAAUACUUCUUGCAAUCCUGUUUGGAUAGGAUGCUGUCCCAUGAUAUCUGUAUUUUUUGUGGAGUUUGAUUUUUAUUAAUUUUCUUAAAAAAAAAAUUCUACAUGCUUUAUCAUUAAAUAUAAGCAGACCAGAAUAUUAAGGUAAAAUAACAAAAAUGGCAGUGUGUAAAUGGAGACAUAAAAUAGUAGCCCAAAACAUAGCAAAAUUCUAAUAUAAAAUUGACACACAUUAUAUGGGAGCCAAAUCUGCCUCAGAUAUAAUCAUGCCUCAUAACUCUGUAGUUUGAUUCCUGCAAAUUGUCGAGUAGUGCAGAACUGGGUUAUGCAAAUAAUUGUUCUCUGUGGAAAACUGAUGAUAGGGGAGAUGCAGGGAGAAAGUCCACCAAUUUUAAGUAUACCCAUGUAACUGAGUGCCAACAAAAAGGCCAGAUUGUUGCAAGUUUCUGGGAUAACAUUAAACAAGAGAAAUUGCAUUUUACCAACCAUGUAAAAACAAACCUGUGCUGUAGAAAACCAUAUUACCAACUAUAAGAGCAAAACUGCUAUUAAAAACACGUUAUAUAAGGCCUGACUGUAUGUAAAUAUUUUCAGCCUUCCGCAGUUUCAGUAAACCAAUAACUGUGCUUUUCAUUGUGUGGCACAACAUAAUAUAGGCAGCCCCCUCUGGCUCUGGGAAGGGCAGUGCAGGAAUAAAGUAAGCAUUCACUUGCUCCUAGCA
rnacentral:lncRNA from 1 species